rnacentral:rRNA from 1 species
CCUACGGGAGGCAGCAGUGAGGAAUAUUGGUCAAUGGGAGCGAUCCUGAACCAGCCAAGCCGCGUGAGGGAAGACGGCCCUAUGGGUUGUAAACCUCUUUUGUCGGGGAACAAAACCCGGGACGUGUCCCGGACAGCGUGUGUACGAAGAAAAAGCAUCGGCUAACUCCGUGACAACAGCCGCGGUAAUACGGAGGAGGCUAGCGUUAUCCGGAUUUCUUGGGGUUAAAGGGUGCGCAGGCGGGCCUUUAAGUCCGCGGUCAAAGGCCGGGGGUCAACCCCGGGACGGCCGUUGAAACUGGCAGUCUCGAGUUGGAGAGAGGGAUGCGGAAUGCGCGGGGUAGCGGUGAAAUGCAUAGAUAUCGCGCAGAACUCCGAUUGCGAAGGCAGCAUGCCGGCUCCAAACUGACGCUGAGGCACGAAAGCGUGGGUAUCGAACAGGAUUAGAUACCCUUGUAGUC